AUACAAACAAUUUAAUGCUUAUUUUAAAGUUAGAGGCUUUAAUAUAUAGGUAUAUUUCAGU
rnacentral:tRNA from 1 species